rnacentral:ncRNA from 1 species
AGAUGCGCGCCGCACCUGCCCCGUUUCGGGGGGCCGGGAAGCCGUUCGAGCAGCGUCGUGUCGCGGUCCGGGACUGUCCUCAGUCCCGGGUCGUCUCGGCGCGGUUCCGAGCGGUCGCUCCCUCGCGAGGUGCCGCGGGUCAGCGGCUGACGCCAGCCACCUUCCCGACCCGUCUUGAAACACGGACCAAGGAGUCUAACAUGUGCGCGAGCCGCGGGGCAGUACGAAACCCGUAAGGCGAAAUGAAGGUGAACGCCGGCGCGGUCCGGCGGAGGUUGGAUCCCGUCCCGUCGGGGCGGGCGCACUACCGGCCGAUCUUCUCCGCCCUGUCGGCGAGGUCGAGCGAGAGCGUGCAAGUCGGGACCCGAAAGAUGGUGAACUAUGCCUGAGGAGGUUGAAGCCAGAGGAAACUCUGGUGGAGGACCGUAGCGAUUCUGACGUGCAAAUCGAUCGUCAAAUUUGGGUAUAGGGGCGAAAGACUAAUCGAACCGUCUAGUAGCUGGUUCCCUUCGAAGUUUCCCUCAGGAUAGCUGGCGCUCUGUCGCAGUUUUAUCUGGUAAAGCGAAUGAUUGGAGGUCUGGGGGCGAAACGCCCUCAACCUAUUCUCAAACUUUAAAUUGGUAAGAAGCCCGACUCGCUCGUUUGGAGCCGGGCAUGGAAUGCGAGUGCCAAGUGGGCCACUCUUGGUAAGCAGGACUGGCGAUGCGGGAUGAACCGAACGCCGGGUUAAGGCGCCCGACGCGACGCUCAUCAGAGCCCAGAAAAAGUGUUGGUUGAUAUA